UCCAAAAAAAUUACCACAAUAUCAAUCCGAAAGCUCCGACCAUAGCCCACCACAAUCAAACAUAAUCAAUCCAUUUAUCAAAACAAAAAAUUAAAUCAUACAACCCACCACAAACACUGUUCAUCACUAUAGCAGCUCCGACCAUAGCCCACCCCAACUUCUGCACAGUAGUCAACUGAAAGCUCUGCCCAAUCUCUCACCAUCCUGCACAGUAGAGGUCUUGUUCUUCACAGUGAAACCCCCAAGCUUCGUUAUCAAAGAAGAUGAAGGUAGAGGUCACGCCUCCCCAUUGCAACCUGUCGUCGCCGAGAUUUGCCUUCAAGCAUGCCCAGAUCCGAAGCUGUGAAUCAUGCUGCUGCUUGUGACGAAGAAGAAGAUGAGGAAAGGAGAUGUGGAUGACGUGACAGGAAUUUUCGACACGUGGCAGAGAUGCUGCUCGCCUAUCGACCAGAGAUAUUUCCAUAUGCGAUGUUCAAGUUUUGUAUACGACCAGCCUAGUCGUAUACUCCGUUUAUUUAUGUAUAAAUUUGUAUAGUUGUAAUGAUAUCCGAGAAUAUCUCUUCAUUAUAACCUGAAUAUCCGUUUAUUAAGAAAAUAUAUGAUUAAUUGACUCAUGUAAUCCUUUUUUAGCCUAUAAAUAGUCAAGACAUAGCUCAAGGGGGAUCUUUGGAUCUUUUUCCGAAUUGUAUUGCUAUUAUCCAUCGUCUGUAUUGUUUCUCCUUCUAAGGUCUGUGAAACUCAGGAACCCUAGUUCUUUGAUCACACAUUUGAAACUCAAUAUUAAUAAUAGUAUCAAGUGGACGUAGGUCAUUACCAAUCACUGAGGCCGAACCACUAU